rnacentral:rRNA from 1 species
UACGUAGGUGGCAAGCGUUAUCCGGAUUCACUGGGUUUAAAGGGUGCGUAGGUGGGUUGGUAAGUCAGUGGUGAAAUCUCCAGGCUUAACUUGGAAACUGCCAUUGAUACUAUCAAUCUUGAAUACCGUGGAGGUCAGCGGAAUAUGUCAUGUAGCGGUGAAAUGCUUAGAUAUGACAUAGAACACCAAUUGCGAAGGCAGCUGGCUACACGAAUAUUGACACUGAUGCACGAAAGCGUGGGGAUCAAACAGG